rnacentral:rRNA from 1 species
AUUGAACGCUGGCGGUAUGCUUAACACAUGCAAGUCGAACGGUAACAGGCCUUCGGGCGCUGACGAGUGGCGGACGGGUGAGUAACGCGUAGGAAUCUGCCUUAUAGUGGGGGACAACGUGGGGAAACCCACGCUAAUACCGCAUACGCCCUACGGGGGAAAGCGGGGGAUCGCAAGACCUCGCGCUAUGAGAUGAGCCUGCGUUAGAUUAGCUAGUUGGUGAGGUAAAGGCUCACCAAGGCGACGAUCUGUAGCGGGUCUGAGAGGAUGAUCCGCCACACUGGAACUGAGACACGGUCCAGACUCCUACGGGAGGCAG